rnacentral:rRNA from 1 species
UACGAAGGGGGCUAGCGUUGCUCGGAAUUACUGGGCGUAAAGCGCGUGUAGGCGGCUCUGCAAGUCGGAUGUGAAAUCCCACGGCUCAACCAUGGAAGUGCAUUCGAAACUGCAGGGCUAGAGUCCUGGAGAGGAAGGUGGAAUGCUUGGUGUAGAGGUGAAAUUCGUAGAUAUCAAGCGGAACACCGGUGGCGAAGGCGGCCUUCUGGACAGUGACUGACGCUGAGACGCGAAAGCGUGGGGAGCAAACAGG